rnacentral:rRNA from 1 species
GACGAACGCUGGCGGCGUGCUUAACACAUGCAAGUCGAACGGAAAGGCCCCCAUCUUGGUGGGGGUGCUCGAGUGGCGAACGGGUGAGUAACACGUGGGUGAUCUGCCCUGUACUUCGGGAUAAGCUUGGGAAACUGGGUCUAAUACCGGAUAGGACCAUGGUUUAGUGUCUCAUGGUGGAAAGAUUAUUGUUUUGGUGCAGGAUGAGCUCGCGGCCUAUCAGCUUGUUGGUGGGGUAAUGGCCUACCAAGGCGUCGACGGGUAGCCGGCCUGAGAGGGUGGACGGCCACAUUGGGACUGAGAGACGGCCCAGACUCCUACGGGAGGCAGCAGUGGGGAAGAUUGCACAAUGGGCGCAAGCCUGAUGCAGCGACGCCGCGUGGGGGAUGACGGCCUUCGGGUUGUAAACUCCUUUCGUUAGGGACGAAGCCGCACUUUUUUUGGGUGUGGUGACGGUACCUUUGUUAAGAAGCACCGGCUAACUACGUG